GUAAUCAUUUGUGUUGUAAGUACUUUAGCAGAGCACACUCGGCGACUGCGGUGCCUUUAACACAGACGAUGACGUUUACGCGUGCUCGUACGCCAUUGGCUGUGGGACUUCCGGGUCGUAUUUUGUUUUUCAGGCAGACUCGAGCAUGGCCGUGGAGCUCUGGAACAGAGUCAACGUCCCUUUUCCCAGCGCCGUGUCCGCUGUCCGCGUGCCCUUCACCGCACAGACAGCUGCAGACGUUGAAACGCUGCUGACGGAGCGCGGAAAUGUGCUGAAGCUGCUCCGCAGUGAGAUGCUUCAGACGGAGGUCCGGCUGCUGUACGAGCUGCUGUACGUCCUGAACAACAGCUACCGGGGCAACAAGACGUUCAAGGCGCUGAAGCAGGUGGAGCAGUGUGUGAACCGGCUGAAGAACAUGAAGCUCGAUGCUGCUCUUCAGGAACUGUCAGAUCUGUGUCCGAACAGGAUCCAGAGGCAGCUGAGCAUCAAGGACGGCCAGUGUGUCGUUCCCAGUCAGCCCACGCUGGAGUGGAUCUGUCUCAAAGUGCUGGGGGCCGCUCGGCUGACGAGCUGCACGCUGCGUCGCUGCAGCAGAGCUUUCACACUCGCAAAGCAGCAGAUGAAGUGGGAGGAGUUUGUCAUCCUGAACGUGGUGAUAACCAGCAUGCUCAGCCGUCUGUGGGUGAUUUUCCGUGGCGUGCUGCUCGCCCUGUCCGGCCUCUACCGGCAGCUCCUGGAGCUUCUCAGAGACGUAGCCCGAGUCCAGCCCAUGCCCUUCCUCACAGACUUCUCCCUGCCAGCUGAUCUGGCUCAGUUCCUCGGUCCCUCUGAUGCUUUGUUAUUGACCAAGCCUGCGGCGCACAGCAGAGCGCGGCAGGAAAAGAAGCAGGCGGCCAAGAAGACCUGCAUGCAGAAAAGAAAGCUCAAAGAAGACCUCGGCGUUGCAGUUAUAAGAGGCGUCGGCCUCGCAGCAGACAGGAAGUCUUUUUUCAAGCUGUGCAGGACUUUCACAGAGGGCAAGUCGACGCCCAAACAAACGAGCAGAGCUGACAGGAGACACGAGUUCCAGAAACAGGUGAGAGAAGCUGCUUCUUUCUCACACGUGGAGAUCCGUGUGGACGAGAUGAUUCGCUGGUGCAAAUCCCAGAGGAUGGGAAAGGAAAAACGCCUUUUAACCUUCCUGCAGUUAAAGUGCCGGCAGAUGAAAUGCCUGGAGGCAGCGGGCUACAACGUCCAGAGGAAGCUGCAAACCUUCAAAAAGGAAGCUUGCUGGGCUUCAUCUCCAGAAGGAUCAGCGCCAAAGACCUUACGUUCGCUCGCCUCGAGGAGACGUGUCCACGGGAGAAUUCGUUUUCAUACUCUCAGGAGGUUUAUGAUGAGAGGCGGCGUAAAAAGGAAAGAGCAGGCGGGACGACAGACACGAGCUCGACUCAGCGGGGACGACCAGAGAAGCGGGACUGCACGAGAGGCGACGUGUCGGAGCACGGUCACUCACGAUGACAUCGAUGACAUUUUUGCCUCUGCAGGUCUGUGAAGCCCGAAAGCGCCGAUGUAAGGUCACAGACAGACGAACAGUCUGAGCAGGUUUGGAAGCAGAAGCUGUGCUCGCCAUGUUUAAUGUGUCUCUCAUUAAAAGCUAUAAAGCGCGGAAACAACUGAACCCCCCCAGACUAAAAGAUUCUGUUUUAAUUUGGGUACGCAUGGAACACACACUCACAGCCACUUCAUUAGGUACGCCUGUUCCAGCUGCUCGCAUGCACACGUGUAACCGCUGGUUCGCAUCAAGAUAUGCAGUAAAGCAUCUGUGGAUGCACAGCACGUCAACGGUUAAAGGUCACAGCGAGCGUCGCUGCUGAGGUCCAGCCGAGCUGGUUUCCUGAACUUGCCUGAAGGAUGUUGGCUGCAGUCUCAAAGCAGAGCCAUGAUGAAUGAACCCAACCCAGUAUUAGACACCUGAUACAGUGGAUGUGUGAAAUCAAAUGUAAGAGAAAAUAAAUUAACUGAUGGAGCUGAAAUAUGACUGUGUGAGUAGAAUGCUUAUUUAAUGAGCAUGCAGACUGAAGCCUGUGCUUAUGGUUUGAAGCAUGCAUGCAGUGGCAGCAUGUUUACGUGCUUCUUCUGUCUGUCUGAAGGAAAUUUAAAUCCGUUUGUGCAGCUGUGCCAGUUUUUAAUAAUGUUCGAAGUCACGCACUACAGAUCUGAACAAGGCUUUUACAGUAGUUGGUGUAUUUGGCUCCCCCUGGUGGGCUCGAGGAUCAGCGCACAGACAAAUUCCAGGCUCGAUUCAUCUUUGGGAAUACGGAAUAAUUCUUUCAUCCUACGGCCCGCGGCCGAAGCAGCGUGAGACGGCUCAGGUGUCAGCAGGAAGGAGUCUGUGCUGAAGGCGUCUCAGAGCCUGCAGUGGCUUCUGUUAGCAGACACACGGGCACCGGUCCUGCUCUGACACCAGCAGCCGGCACACAAGCUAAAAGGUUUGUUUUCUUACAGCCACUAUGUUUCAUCAUCACCUGCCAAAGAAGAUGGAGUCGUCCCAUCUGCACCAACGCUGCGGCUUUUAUCUCCGUCAGAGCUUCACUGGGCUGAGUUACAGUCUCACAUCAAACUGCCAGAUCUAUUUGAACACAAUACUUAACUUUCUGGGUUUGUCAGGGUCCACUCUUAUUUUUCACAGCCUGGAGGUGAGGAAGAGGUGCAGGAGGAAAAUCGUAAAGGUCUGCAUCAUGUAUGAGAGCAGAAACUGAGCUGAGGCAGAAGGAGGAAAAAAGCUGAUGGAGUAAUGGUGCCGUGCACUCCUCAACGAGGCCUGCAGUGGAACAACGAAGGCAGAAAAUCACCCAGACUGGGGAAAAAGAGAAACCAUGCAAAGUCUAAAUUUUAACGAUGUGAGCUCUGAAUAUAAACAAUAAUAUAAUUUGUGUAUAUCUCAUCUUUGCCUUUAUUUUAGAAAACUGUCUCAUAUAUCAGUUUUCUCGGAUGAAUAGAGAAUAAAGAGAAGGAUUAAAAAGUGUGAGCACAGACGGUGGUUUACAAACCUCAGUGAGAACCGGCCCAGAGAGCUCACUGACAUUUUAUUGCCACCUCCAUAAACGUGGUCUGCAAAAGUCCCCGUCGUGCAGUUUCCAUCCACUCAUUCAUUUUCUAUACACACUUUUGCAAGAGGCACAGUGCCCAUUACACUGCAAUAAAAGCUGCACUGCCUCUGCUUUAGACGAGCGUAAGGCUGCAACAUCCGCUUUAACAGGACUGAGUCUCAGCAUCACACCUGGAUUUUAUCUUCACAGCAUCGGCCAUGCAUCUUUAAAAAAAUCAUCAUCUCUGUUCUAACAAUAUGUAGGAAGACAUGGCGGUGCUGCUCCUGUGUCUCAGAAUAAAAUAUUUCUUCUACGACAGGACAGGAGAACUGACAUUUUGAGUUUCUGUAAAAGGCAAAAACAUGUCUGGGACGCUCUUUAUUCUUACUUUGGCUAAUAUUUAGCCAGAGGUCAGGGUUCACUGACAGCAGGUGGUUUUAUUGUCAUGGAACUGCUGACCUGGCAUGUCUGAGCUACAACACUUGUUCUUAAUAUUAUGUCUCAGUGGGCGUUUCUGUGAAUCACAGACUGGAGGACCAACAGUGAAGGGGAUGAGCCGACUGGACUCUGUGAGGAACCUCAGGUCCUUCCGUUUGUGCUGGAGAACUUCUGUCCGUCUGUAGCAGCAUCAGCAAACUAGUCCACCAAGCUGGAACCUCAUUGGUCAGAAUCUGGAGGUGUUUGAGUCAGUGAGGGGCCGCAGUUCACUAAACACACCGUCCUCCAUCAUGGACAAUCACAACUAGUGAUGUGCGGAUCGAUACUGAAAUAUCGAUUCCUCCGAUACCAGUCCUUUAUGUUCUAUAAUCGACUCACAACAAUGGCUGAGUGUAAUUGGAGUUACGUGCAGACGUAUUUUACCUCCACAAACAGCUGAGAUGUGGUUUGCAAUACAUGUGGCAAGACAGUGAGGUGUUGUGGCAACACCACUAACCUCGUGAAAUACGUCACAGGAAAUCAGAUCACAGAAUAUGACGAGCGUAUGUUGAGGCGAACUGAAGAGGAGGAGAGGGACAGGUGCUGCUAGGGCGAGACAGACGU